rnacentral:rRNA from 1 species
GAUGAACGCUAGCGGCAGGCUUAAUUCAUGCAAGUCGAGGGGCAGCAUGAUUGUAGCAAUACAAUUGAUGGCGACCGGCAAACGGGUGCGGAACACGUACACAACCUUCCAAUAAGUGGGGAAUAGCCCAGAGAAAUUUGGAUUAAUACCCCGUAACAUAACGAUGUGGCAUCACAUUGUUAUUAUAGAUUUUUCGCUUAUUGAUGGGUGUGCGGCUGAUUAGAUAGUUGGCGGGGUAACGGCCCACCAAGUCUACGAUCAGUAGCUGAUGUGAGAGCAUGAUCAGCCACACGGGCACUGAGACACGGGCCCGACUCCUACGGGAGGCAGCAGUAAGGAAUAUUGGACAAUGGACGCAAGUCUGAUCCAGCCAUGCCGCGUGAAGGAUUAAGGUCCUCUGGAUUGUAAACUUCUUUUAUAAGGGACGAAAAAAGGCUUUUCUAAGUCGUCUGACGGUACCUUAUGAAUAAGCACCGGCUAACUCCGUGCCAGCCGCCGCGGUAAAAC